rnacentral:rRNA from 1 species
GAGGGUGCAAACGUUGUUCGGAAUUACUGGGCGUAAGCGUGUGUAGGCGGCUAAGUAAGUCGGAUGUGAAAGCCCCGGGCUCAACCCGGGAAGUGCACUCGAAACUGCUUAGCUUGAGUAUCGGAGAGGUUGGUGGAAUUCUCGGUGUAGAGGUGAAAUUCGUAGAUAUCGAGAGGAACACCGGUGGCGAAGGCGGCCAACUGGACGAAUACUGACGCUGAGACACGAAAGCGUGGGGAGCAAACAGGAUUAGAUACCCUGGUAGUCCACGCCGUAAACGAUGGGUGCUAGGUGUCACGGGCUUUGACUCCUGUGGUGCCGUAGCAAACGCAUUAAGCACCCCGCCUGGGAAGUACGGCCGCAAGGCUA